rnacentral:misc_RNA from 1 species
AUCGCGGGCAGCGCAAAACAGGAGUAUACACGAUGGCUAAUGGCACCGUGAAAUGGUUUAACAGCACCAAAGGUUUCGGCUUUAUCGAGCCCGAAGGCGGCAAAAAAGACGUGUUCGUUCACAUCUCCGCAGUCGAGCGUUCGGGUCUCACCACCCUGCGUGAUGGCGCGAAAGUCACUUUCGACAUCGAAGCUGGCCGUGACGGCCGUGAGUCCGCGAUCAACCUCGCACUCGCAUAAGACUUCCCUCGCGGGAAAUCUGCAAAGAUUUCAAAGGCGUCCACUUUGGUGGGCGCCUUUUUC